rnacentral:rRNA from 1 species
UACGGAGGAUCCGAGCGUUAUCCGGAAUUAUUGGGUUUAAAGGGUGCGUAGGCGGCCAUUUAAGUCAGCGGUGAAAUUUUGCAGCUUAACUGUAACAGUGCCGUUGAUACUGUUUGGCUAGGAUUUGGUUGUAGUGUGCGGAAUGUGUGGUGUAGCGGUGAAAUGCUUAGAUAUCACACAGAACACCGAUUGCGAAGGCAGCUUACUAAUCCAUCAUUGACGCUGAGGCACGAAAGCGUGGGGAUCAAACAGGAUUAGA